rnacentral:lncRNA from 1 species
CGAGAUUAUAGUGAAUUCCCAAGGGGACGCUUGGGGAGUGGACGUAGGUGCUAAGGAGAGCACCGAACCACUAUAUAUUGUUGUAUUUGUGUUGUGCUUGUGUUUUUAUUUACUCUUGCAUCAUCUUCUACUCUUGCGUUAGUUUAACUCACUCAAAUAGCUUAAGAAAGCAUCCACCGCACUUAAUUAAGAAAACGUUUAAAGCACCAAAAUUUAGAAGAAACCAAUUCACCCCCCCCCUCUUGGCUUGUCACCUUGGGCAACAG